rnacentral:lncRNA from 1 species
CAAGUUGUAAAUCUUGCUAUUGUCUCUUCCAACAUACGUAUCAGAAGCUGUUCUUGUAGUAGCUGACACUAUCUUAGUAGACAUAGAUUGAAAUUUGGAACAUUUGUUGAAUGAACAACCAUUUGGGUGUUGGUGUCUGAAUCCAUGAAACACAAAGAGAUACCUAGGAUUCUUCGAAGGGAGUGUGAAUUUGAAAUUUGAGGCUAAGAAGGAAGAGGUCGCCAUUGGCUUAUGCAAUUGGAAAGUGUUGUUUGUUAAAAAACAAUGGUCUGUCCGUCUGUGUGUUGAAGAAUUCGCCACGAUUUUGUGGCCUCUCUAUGUUGUUUAAAAUAAUGAACAAUCA